rnacentral:SRP_RNA from 1 species
ACCAUGCACAGUGGCACGUGCCUGUAGUCCCAGCUACUCAGGAGGCUGAGGUGGGAGGACCGCUUGAGUCCAGGGGUUCUGGGCUGUAGCGCGCUAUGCCGAUCGGGAGUCUGCACUAACUUCAGCAUCAAUAUGGUGACCUCCCGGGAGCAGAGGACCACCAGGUUGCCUAAGAAGGGGUGAACCGACCCAGGUCGGAAACGGAGCAGGUCAAAACUCCCGUGCUAAUCAGUAGUGGGAUCGCGCCUGUGAAUAGCCACUGCACUCCAGCCUGGGCAACAUACUGAGACCCCGUCUCU